GCGAGUGAGCGGCAAAAGCUCAAAUUUGAAAUCUGGCACCUUCGGUGUCCGAGUUGUAAUUUGAAGAAGGUAACUUUGGAGUUGGCUCUUGUCUAUGUUCCUUGGAACAGGACGUCACAGAGGGUGAGAAUCCCGUGCGAUGAGAUGCCCAAUUCUAUGUAAAGUGCUUUCGAAGAGUCGAGUUGUUUGGGAAUGCAGCUCUAAGUGGGUGGUAAAUUCCAUCUAAAGCUAAAUAUUGGCGAGAGACCGAUAGCGAACAAGUACAGUGAUGGAAAGAUGAAAAGAACUUUGAAAAGAGAGUGAAAAAGUACGUGAAAUUGUUGAAAGGGAAGGGCUUGAGAUCAGACUUGGUAUUUUGCGAUCCUUUCCUUCUUGGUUGGGUUCCUCGCAGCUUACUGGGCCAGCAUCGGUUUGGAUGGUAGGAUAAUGACUAAGGAAUGUGGCUCUACUUCGGUGGAGUGUUAUAGCCUUGGUUGAUACUGCCUGUCUAGACCGAGGACUGCGUCUUUGACUAGGAUGUUGGCAUAAUGAUCUUAAGCCACCC
rnacentral:rRNA from 1 species